AUUUAAUAAUAACUCUAAUUCUUACAGAUCUAUAAGUACAAGAAAACAUAGUGACCAAUAAAUUUCUAUCUAUUGGGAGCUUAGGAAAAAAAUGACUAAAAUUAUUAAGUUUGUUUAUUUAAUGAUCUUCUAUAUUUCCUUGUUUUUUCUUGUAACUGACGUUAAUGGUAAACCAUUUUCGUAUCCUUUUGAACUUUUUUGAUUACUUACACAAAAUAUUCCAUCUCUUAAUUACAAUAAUUAUUUUGUUUUUUUCAUGACAGCGUUGUGGAAAAAAUGCCAGAAGGAUGUAGAUUGUAAACGUUGUGUUUGUGUAGCUCCUUUUGUUCCAAAGUGCCAUAUGGCUACAUGUUUAUGCCGUUCGCCUUCAUAAGAUAUCAGCUCAAUGGUAAGAGAUUGAUAUUUUAACCUCAAGGAACGGAGUUAAAUCUCAUUUUGAGACAAUUAAAUGGCCAUUAAAUCCAUUGUUAUAUUUAUAAUUUAUAAUAGUGUACUUCUCCAAUAUUUUGUUUAAGAUGUUAUUGCUGACUAUAGUAAUAGUAAUUAUAAUGUUGUUAAUGUUUUUUUCUUCCAAACAUACAAUAAAGCCAAUAAACAUCAUUCCCACUCAGUAAUUAUAAAACAAAUGAUAAAGUGAAAGUAGAGUUUUAAUGUAUUAAGGUUCAAUUGUAAUCUCCAAAUAUCAAGCCGUUCGUAUGUCGGUUGGUAAUAAAGGGCAAAAAAGGAAAAUGUUAUGUAAAUACAUUUAUUUGACAAAAAUAUAACAAAUAUAUUAUUUUUAAUAUUUUUUGCGGCAAAAAAUUAUAUCAUGCAUGUUUGA
rnacentral:lncRNA from 1 species